GCAAGUCGGCUGAUGCUCCCGGCAGAAUAAACCACUUCCUUCUUUAAUCCGGUGUCUGAGGAGUUUUGUCUGUGGCUCGUCCUGCUGCAUUUCUUGGUUCCCUGACCAGGAAGUGAGGGGAUUAAUGGAAGGCCAAGGCAGCCCCUUAGGCAGCUUAGGUCUGCCCUGUAGAGCAUCCCUGCGGGGGACUCUGGCCAGCUUGAGCCAUGCAGAUCCUGAGAGCGCUCCCAGGUAGGCAUUUGUCCUGGUGGAAUGCCUUGUCAGAGCAGUGCACAGCAGGCCCCCGCAGAGGAUCAAUGCAGUAGCUGAACACCGGGAAGGAACUGGCACUUUAAGUCCAGACAUCUAAAACUUGUUGCAGGUGUGGUGUCUUGGAUCCACCACAGUUGGCUAACACCAGCAGCUCAAGACAAGUAGCAGCCAGCAGGAUGCAGAUUAUCCAACCCUGAUGAUCCUGAGAUGAGACCAAACUGCUGCUGAGGAUGACAGCCGUGCUCUGGUCACUCCAGAGGCUGACCAGUCUGCGCAUGGCUGAACCUUGAGGAGACAACAAGCCCUGCUCUAGUCACACACCGGCAGCUGACUAGUCUAUGCACAGCCGAAGCUUGAGGACUCAUCAAGCAAGUAAAUGUAGUUAAAAAUCUUAAGACUAAUAGUUUUCCUGUAAUAUUGUUUUCCUAUUGUUCUGUCACUGUAUUCAACCUUUUUCCCAGUAAGGACCUCUUUUGUCCUUGCUGGAUAUGAAUAUGCUGUACAUUGUUUUGUUGUUGCUACCCCCCCCAUAACCAUGCUAGAAGAAACAUCUAUAUAAGGUGUCCCCACUGUACACAUACUACUUAGGAAACCCAGACCCAUCCAGCCCAGCAACAAUUCCAAGUCUUUCAGUCAUUCUUUAAACAUAUAAACCAGAAGUUACCAGAACCUCCUCCUUUAGCAAAAAAGGAAAAAACCUAUUUGCUCAGCUGGCUGAAAACAUUGCUGGCAGCCUAGAUGUUUCUUCAUGUUAUGUUUAAAAAAAGGCUAACAUAAGAGACCAAUGGCCUUGAGAAGCAAAAGAGUUAAUGCCUCGAAGAUAACUUCAACUAGCUCUUUCCCCAAAGAGACGCCACAAGUUCAAGUGUCUGGCUCUUAAAAUCUUCUAUUAUUAAAAAAUACUGUGUUAUUCUCUAGGAAAAAGCUUUUAAGACCCAGUUAAUAAACUAACCUGCUUAGGACAUGACAAAGUUGAUACAUGUGCAUAUACAGGUUUAACACAGGUUUGAUCCUAGGUCUUUAUUUAGAAAAUAGUUUCCAGCUACAAAAAAUUUAAAACCCUCACUGUAAGUGCAUUACUAGUAAUAGCAACUUGCUUGCUGCUCCCCUGUGUAUUACGCUUGCUCUUUCAAACGAUAAAAGGUUUUGUAACUACCAUGGUUUGUCAGAAAACUUCAACACGAGUGUAUUACAUAAAACAUUAUCACUCUGUCUUGCAAAAAGACUCAAAAGGUAAAAAUAAAAGUGAGAACUCCCACUAAUUAGUGAAAAUUCUCAAAGUGGGGGAUAAGGAAGGAGACCACUACUACUCCUGCUGCCUCCCCCCCAUCUUGCCUAGUUCACAAGACAGGAGAAAAGAGAGAAAGCAAAAAGUUGGAAAAAAAAAAAAAAAGAUAAAUAGCCAGACAACCUUGACACCACCACCCAGCCCUAGGAGUUAAAAAAAGUAAUAAUAAUAACAUCAACCUCUGACCUAAACUACUUGUGUUAUCUGUAAAUUCCAGACACUGUAUGAAAAAAGCACUGUAAAACUUUCUGUUCUGUUAGCUGAUGCAUGUAGCCCCCAGUCACGUUUCCCACAUUUGCUCGAUUUAUCACGACCCUUUCAUGUGGACCCCUUAAAGUUUUAAGCCUUUAAAAAGGCCAAGAAUUUCUUUUCCGGGGAGUUCGUCUCUUAAGACGCAAGUCGGCCGACGCUCCCGGCCAAAUAAACCACUUCCUUCUUUAAUCCGGUGUCUGAGGAGUUUUGUCUGCAGCUGGUCCUGCUACAGUGCCACUGCACUCCAGCCCAGGCAACAAAGAGCAAAACUCCAUCUCAAAAAAAAGAAAAGAAAAGAAAAUCUACAAGCUAGUUGGUGACCUUGGACUUGGCAUCCAGUGGCAGCUCACUGGACUCCUCCAUGGGAGGUGUCUGGAGCUGGCAUCGUGGACUCGAGCAAACACUUCCCCCCUCCCCCAGUUAUCAGUUACAAUGAGUCUCCUUAUUUUCUUUUGUCAAAAUUCCGUUGAUUAUCCAUGGACUUAUGCAUUCAUAUAAAUUUUACAAUCAGUUGUCAAGUUAUAUAAGCCAUUCUGUUGAUAUAUUGAUAUCGCAUGGGUCUUGCAGGAGAACAUGGAGGAAAUUCACAUCUUUAUAAUACUAAAUCACCUCAUUUAUAAAUAAGGUAAAUCUCUUCACUUAAUUAGUUCUCAACUUGCCCUUGAAUAAUUUUAAGUGUUUCUCAAUACAAAGGUUAUGUGCAUUUAUUCUGUGUCUUGUUCUUAGACAUGUUAUGAUUUUGUUCUAUCAUGAAUGAUAUGUUAUUUUCUCAUAUUUUCUAGGUGACUACUGCUGAUGUGGUGGAAAUUUCUGAUUUUUUAAUGUUGACUUUGUAGCCAGCAAUCUUAUUGAACUAUUUUAUUCAUUCUAAUAGUUUACUAAUAAUUCUGCUUCAUUUUCUAUGUAGCUAAUCAAAACAAAUGUGCCUCUUUGAGAAACUAUAUAGCACCAAGGUUAAAAGGUGAAAUCUGGAAGCCAUAAAAACUAGUUUCAAAACUGUAGUUAAUUCCUCUACUUCCUUUCCAGAUUACAAAUUUAAUAUCCAAUUUUCUUGCCUGAGACUAGACUCCUCUACUGAAGACUCAUUUUAUAACAUUCCUUAUCUUCCCAUCAUCACCAGCCCAUCUACAACACAAAGGAAGAAAUCCUUUGCCCUAUUGCCUCCUGCUGCCAUAAAAU
rnacentral:lncRNA from 1 species